GACGAACGCUGGCGGCGUGCUUAACACAUGCAAGUCGAACGGUGAAGCUCCAGCUUGCUGGAGUGGAUCAGUGGCGAACGGGUGAGUAACACGUGAGCAACCUGCCCCUGACUCUGGAAUAAGCGCUGGAAACGGCGUCUAAUACUGGAUACGAGAAGGGUCCGCAUGGGCACUUUCUGGAAAGUUUUUCGGUUGGGGAUGGGCUCGCGGCCUAUCAGCUUGUUGGUGAGGUAAUGGCUCACCAAGGCGACGACGGGUAGCCGGCCUGAGGGGGCGACCGGCCACACUGGGACUGAGACACGGCCCGGACUCCUACGGGAGGCAGCAGUGGGGAAUAUUGCACAAUGGGCGAAAGCCUGAUGCAGCGACGCCGCGUGAGGGAUGACGGCCUUCGGGUUGUAAACCUCUUUCAGCAGGGAAGAAGCGAAAGUGACGGUACCUGCAGAAGAAGCACCGGCUAACUACGUG
rnacentral:rRNA from 1 species